UCCCUGGCAGUCUAGUGAUUAGGACUUGGCACUUUUACUGCCAGGGCCUGGGUUCAAUCCCUGGUCAGGGAA
rnacentral:tRNA from 1 species